rnacentral:lncRNA from 1 species
UAAAGCUGUUUAUUUCACCUGAGUGCAGGUGGGCUGAGUCCGAAAAGAAAGCGAAGGGAGUUAAGGGUGGGGCAGUUUUAUAGGAUUUGGGCAGGUAAAGGAAAAUUACAGUCAAAAGGGGGGUUGUUCUCUGGCUGGCAGGAGUGGGGGUCAUAAGGUGCUCAGUAGGGGAGCUUUUUGAGCCAGGAUGAGCCAGGAAAAGGACUUUUACAAGGUAAUGUCAUCACUUAAGGCAAGGACCGGCCAUUUUCACUUCUUUUGUGAUUCUUCAGUUACUUCAGGCCAUCUGGGCAUAUAUGUGCAAGUCACCGGGGCUGCGAUGGCUUAGCUUGGGCUCAGAGGCCUGACAGGAGAAUCCCUCAAACCCGGGAGGCAGAGGUUGCAGCCAGCCGCGAUUGUGCCAUUGCCCUCCAGCGUGGGCAAUAGAGUAAGAUUCCAUCUCAAGCAAACAACCAAAUAGCAACUUGAACCAAUGUGCCUCUGCACAUUUCACACAUGCUACAAAGGAGGGGUGUGGCAUGGGACAGCAUUGACCAAUCCUCGGUCAGGAAGGGCUUCCAGAGCAAGUGCAGCUCUGAAAGGCAGGUUGAACACCUCUAGCAAGGUCCUGGGAUCCUUUAAGUCCUGAAGGGAGGUCAGUGUAGCUGGGAGAGAGGGUAGGGGUGGCGUGGGGUUGUCAAGGAGGCACAGUUGGCCAAUCUAGCCUGUGCAGACCCUCCACUGCUGAAUGUAUAUAUAAUUUUUAUUUUAAGAGCAAUGGAAAUCCAUUGAACUGUUUUAAGGAGACAGAGGGAGAGAGAAACACACACACACAUGCACACAGAACCUGGCCUCGGUGGGUGUAGGAGGGAGAACUGAAUGAUAGCUUUCAGGUCUCUGAUUCACACAUUUGGAUGCUCAACGAGGGCACCUUCCUUUGGGAGCUUCGGCUGGUGUGGGGAACCAGGCAAGUUGGGAGCCCUGGAGAUGGCGUGCCUAGUGGGGAGACGGGGGCAGGCUGGGCCUGAGAUUGCGGUACGACCUGGGUCCCAGCAGCCCUUUUACUUCCUCUCAGUCUGUUGGAGCCUUGGGGCUGGAAGGGAGGGUCAUUAGAAUGUUCUCUGCAGAAAACUCAAAAAGCCCGCAGGAGAAUGAGAGUCUGUGCUAUUUCGGCAUUCCCUCCCAUUUCACUCACUGCCUCGAGGGAAUGAUAAAUAUGAGAAACCUGCUCAAAAAGCCUGGCUGGACCCAGGGUCUGCUUGAAGGCCUGUGCUCUGGGGCUGGAAAGGGGAGGGGGGAGGGGAGAGGGAGGAAGGAGAGAUGAAGGGGUGGGGGGGAGAAGGGAGACGGAAAGGGGAGGAAAGGGAAGGAAGGGAGAGGGAACUAGGAGAGGAGAGAGGAGGAGGGGGAGGGGGGGAGGAGGGGACAGGGAGAGGUAGGGGAGGGGAAGAGGAGGCCGAGGGGGAGGGCAUAAGGCCUGCCUGCAGCUGUCUGCAGAGCCCCACGCCUGCCACACGGUGAGUCACAGUGCCAGCUCCCACUGCCUGCCUCUAUUUUUAUAUCAGCGCCUGCUCAUAUCUGACUCGUUAACUAAGCCUUCCAACUGGUGGAGGGGAAUCUGGUGGCAGAGGAUGAGGGCCGAGGGAAUAAUUUAGAAGUCUACAUAGGAAUUAUAAAGCGAUCCUUCUCUCUUAUCAGGAGCUCUAAGCCUUUUUAAUAACCAGGCGCUUUCAGCUGCUGCUCUAGAGGGCUGUGGGGAGUUGCCAGCCCUCCCAGCAGUAAUCAGUGUUCUGGGAAGGAGAACAGAGUCAACAAGAACAACCGCCUGGGCUUUGGCACCAAAGGGUGGUAGCAGCUGCAGGAGGGGCUCAGGGAAGCUGUGCUAAUAGGCACUUAAAUGUGACACCCACAUAAUAAGGAUCCUAAACAGAUGGUGGGGGGCUGCUGCUAUCAUGCGGUGCGCAUAAUAGAUGAUCAGAGCAAAUGACAGGCACGCCGCCUGGGGCUACCAUUCUGCAGAGGGUUGAUUCGAAUGGGUUGACACCUGCUGGCUUAGGCAGGCAUCCCUUUCCUCCCUCACUGCUCCAUGUGGAUCUCUCCUGAAGCUGCGUGCUGGGUGGAAGAGGAGAAUCUUCUCUGAUAGAGGACAACGGUUCUGUGGUCAAGUGUAUACCACUCCCCUGCUAGAACCGCGGAACGAGCUCAAACCAGAAGAUGAAUGUUGAACAUGUACAUCCUGUUGCCUUCAAAAUACUCAGAAGAGGGGAAUUCAGGUUUUCUAUUGCUAAGAGGAACUUGGGGUGAGCUGGGAGCCCUGCGGCACCCGCCUUUCUGCAAUGCUCAGAGAGGGAUGGGCAGCCAGAGCUGAUGUGUGCCCCUGUGUGCCUGGGAUGGAUGCCGGCCCUGCUGUUCGCUCCCAGCUCCUGGGUUUGGUGGAGAAGAGGCAUGGGCACGUCUGCUCUGCCCUCCGGAAGAAUCCCCACGUUCAGAACAAGAUGCCAGAGACCCAGGUUCCCAGGUCCUGCCUGCACGCCGAAGCAGAGUCCUGGCCCUGGCAAAGCUCCAAGGGCCCGAUGACCAUGCCUGGGGUGUUGGGGGAGGGGUGCAGGGGUGCCUGGCCAUGGCACAGCCCUCUCCUUUCUGGAGGCUCCUGGGUAUCAGCUGUCCUUUCCUUCCCGCACUCUGCCUGAACGUAGAAGGAAGAAGAGAGCCGCUGACAAAGGGCUUGUGCUUUCUCCCAGCCCCUUGGAUAAGUAAGCACAGCUUUAAAUCCAAACUUAAGAGCCAGGAGAGCGGCACUGGUGGGCAUCUCCCCAGGAUUCUCAUGGUCUGGGGGAAAGACAAGAGCAUCCAGACCCUGCCUGGGAGCUCCCCGGGCCCGCGGCCUCAGUGCACACCCUGAGCUCUCCUGCGCCCCCCUCCCCCAUCCCUUGCACCACCCCCUCCUUCUCUGCACUUUGGUCCCUUCUCAGGGACGUUGUCUCUCAGUGGCUCAGGUGCCUGGCUCCAGGGAGGCCUGGGAGCUCACUCCACACCAUGCUCCCACCCUUCUGAUCAGGAAUUCAAACUGCUUUGCCUUUCCUUCACAUGCACACGGAGCUGUGUGUGUGGGGUCCACGACUCUGGGCAGAAGGUAGCCUUGAACUGCUUGGACACCCUCCCUCGGCACCAGCUUUCUCACUUGGGUCUUGUUAAUCUCAGGUACUCCUUGAAAGCAGUGGCCAAGUUUCCUUCAUAACGUGCCCCCUAGGAGCCCAUGCAGGUCCUUACACCCAGGGACGGCUCAGAGAGGGCCUGGUGGCUGAUCAGCGAGUCUCCUGGCAUCUGUAUCCACCCUGAACUGGGUGAAGGGAACUUUCCUCCAGGGCCAAGGAUGUAAUGAGCUGCCUGCUUAGGAGGAAAGCUAGACGUAUUCCCAUUGAGUAGAUUUGAAAAACAAGGCUGAUGGUGGAUCAUAAAGUCCUGGAGCCUGUGUCUCUAGCGUCACGGAAUGUUCAGAGGGGACGUGGUGGUGGGGAUGGUGGGCAAGUCUGGGGCAUGGAAGCUCUCAGACUCCUUCCUGGGUGGGAGAUAAAAGGGAGCAUUUCCCUCUAGAACCCGUCAGUCAGAGCCAGUGUUGAGAACAGUACCCUCCGCCUUCCUUAAGCAGGUUUUUACCUUUGCCGUCCUCUAAGCGACCUCCUUGUGUUCCAUUUCACAGGCUCCCCAUUAUCAGGCUGUAUUUAUUCCCCUUCCCCUCCCUACAGCUGCCUGGUCUUCCUAACUAGGCUGAAAGUGCCUGAGCUGGUUUGACUGCAGCUCCUCUGCUGGCUCCAGAGCCUGGGACAGGAAGGAGGCUGUGGAGUGGGAGAAGCCUGAGGCAGGCAGCCCAGGCGGGCCCAUGGGGCUGUGCUCACUGUGACAGCUGGGCCACAUGCCUGCCAUUCCCUGCAGCGUGCUCAUCCUCUUGAUAUAGGGAUGCUAUUGGCUGCCCAGCCAGUGAGGCCUUGGGCUCUGGGACCAGACGCCCUGCUGCUUUUAGGGCAAGGCCAGUGGGGACAGGCUAGGACAGGCGUCAGCUUUCUUUCUCUCCUUGCAUGGCCAGGGCCUGCAGCCCGUUUUCUGAUUUGUGUGUAUUAUUAGGUCCCAGGGAUUCCUGCAGCCUGGGUGAGCCUCAGUGGGUGGGGCCCACCCGGAUUCCCACCCCACUCUGUGGAGGAACUGUAUCCGGAAUCUGAGCUCUGUCCAGGGUCCUCAGCCCGGCUGAGAGAGACCUGGCCCACUGCCUGCUUCCAGGCAGAAUGAAGAAGGUGCCAUUUCUCAUCCCCACUGUCCAUGAGGCCACAUGAGGCCUGCCUUGCUUAGAUGUCCCUCCGGCACCCUGCACCUGAUGGCUUCUUUCUGUUCCCUAGAUUAUCCUAGCUCACGGCUGACAAGGGCCUAACAGCCUCCUCCUCUUGGUAACAUACGAGCAAGUUUACCAGGGUGGAUAAUAUCGUGACUCAAUGGGACCUACUGCUCCUGGAGGGGUGGGUGGGGUCCCAUCCAGGGCAGGGCCCACCUUGCCCCACAGGCAGGGCCCUGUUAGGCUAAGCUUCGGGCUGGGAGAAAAGCGAACUCUUCUGCCCUUUCCGACGCCUAAGGACCAUCGACUGGAGGGAGAGGGGCCCUGCGUUUUUGCACGGGGGAUAUGGGCAGAGGCCGGCGUAUUUAGGAAAGUGAACCCCCUUCAUUGACUGCGUUUAGCCAGGGGAAGCCAGCCCCUGCCCAGGCCCAUCCCAGGGUCGCAGAGGUAACGCUAAACAGGGCGCCUUGGAGCUGACCGCGUGGGGCGGGUUCGCGCUGCCUCGGCGUCGCCCGCCUCUGAGCGUGUGGGUGGGGGUGCUUAGGGCCCUGGCCAGGCUUAGGAAGCAGAUCUGGCUGGAUCUGAUAGCUCUUACCUUGGUUUGAACGUUUGUGCGAAGAGCUGAUUGCCCUGGAGGCGAAUUCCCGAGAAGCCGCGGGAGAGCCGCGAGCUGUUCACGUCGUAUUUUGCCGGUUGAGGAACUCCAGACCCAGGCCACGUCUCUUCACUGUGGGGAAAAAAAGCCACUUGUGAAAAACUUAUCCCCCGUGGCAUGGACUGCGUAGGAGACAGUGAAUGAAACAAGCGACCAACCUCAGCAUGAACUAAACCGAGAGACCAGGGCGGGAGGGGAGGGGAGAGGGGGAGAGUGGUCAGAGGCCGGGCUCUCUGUCUGGUGGAGACUGCCCAACCGCUGCUUCUGAAACAGCAGAGACAUCUGAUACACACAGAGGUCUUUUGUGAAUGGCCUUUGUUUGUCUUUUGGGGGCUGUGUGGAGGGCACGACACUUUUUUUGAUGGCAAUCAGAGCAGGGGCUGAGACCAACCUUGGUUGAUAUGGUGCCGACCACAGGCUACAAACAUGAGCUGAGAGGUAGGAUAGUAAGUGGAGGAGAAUGUCCCGCUGAGCCAGACAGCAGCAGAGGGGUUACAUGGGAUAACAAGACCACAAUGAGGAGUUAACAUUUGUGCUGCACUUAGAAUAGUGCCUUGAGCAGGUGAAGUUCUAUAUGUGUGUUCAUUGAAUGCAUUUUUAAAAGGAUACAUUUUUUUAAAACCUCAAUUAGAGCUCAAGCUUUUAUUCAAAUAAACUUUUAUUUUGGGCAAAUUUGAGAUUUGCAGAAAAAUUUGAAGUUGCUCUGGUGGGACAUAGGUUUCCAUAUAUCCUGUACCCAG